rnacentral:lncRNA from 1 species
CCGUCCCCAAUGGGACUCCCUUCCUGUUGGGGGAGGGGGCCCUGGUGGUCCUGGAGCCACCCUCCUCUUGCAGACUAGUCAACCCAAGUGUUCAAGGUCACAGGCCUAAGACUGACUCCUGGGAAAUCUCCUCUCCCUCCUGUCCCAGGCCAAUCCCUUCGGACCCAGAUCAAAGCUUCCAUUUCCCUCCCCACCCCUGUGGGGCUGACCUCACCAGAUGGGAAAGAGGGUUCUAUUCUUUCUUUCCUGUUCUUCUCCACCUCCUCGCCUCCUCCAAUGUGGGAGUUUGUGGCUCACACCGCACCCUGCUGGGGGGACAGGGCACUACUGAAUGGGGCAAAGUGGCCGUGGCAUCCCCCACAGGGGACAGCUCUGCCCACACGUCUCCCCACCCCCCCCCCAUCCACUGCAGUCUGCAGGGUGUCUGCCCCACCCACCCACUCCUCUCAGGUGGGCCUCACUGCUGCCCUGAGGGCCCCUGUUCCUGACCCUGGCUGGGGCACCCCUCAGGCUGUCUCUCCUGAGAACCUACCUUGGCUGGCAGCCCUUGAGGCGUGGUUCUCAGUAGCCCUCAGCAGUGCACUUCGGCUCCCAGCGCCACACAGGACCGACCCCAGCCUGGCCAUGCCCGGCCUCAUCCUCACGUGGCUGCAGGGGAGCUCCAUGGACCCCCCCACCCCAGCCCACAGGAUCCCUAAGAGCUCUCCUUUCUCUCUCUGGAGGCAGCGAGGAGGAUGUUGGGCCCAAAUCUGAUCCAUGUGUGAGCCAGCUGAACUCAGGAACAUUCCCAGGGAAGUGACGUUCCUCAGACCACCCGCCCCCCCCCCCAAUCCCGGCCUGAGCCUCCCCGCUGGACAUACUCAACUGGGGGCCAACAGAGCAAAUUCCAAGACAAAGUUUCAAGAAUGAUGAUUCAGAGGCUCACAGAGGACAUUUGCGGGUAAGAGCUUGCUUGCUUCAUCCCUUCUGCCACCAGGACCAGCCUGGGGACAUGUGACAGAGCAAGUCUGUGCAGGGACAGGAGGCACAGGGGGCCGGGCUGGGGGCUCAGGUGGGGGGGCUUGCUCUCUGAAGGGACAUGGCAGGAGCUGGGAGCUGGCGUGUCGUCGGUGCUGAUGUGGUGCCAGGUGCGGCACGGGCACAGUCCUGCUCUGCACCUUGGGGCUGCGGAGUCGUGGGGUCACUUGGUGCCAUCAGAUGGCCGGGAGGGCAGAGCUGGGACCCCACCUGAGUGACCAGCUCUUGACAUGGUCCCACUGCCCUUUUAAGCAUGAACGAGGAUGAGCCGGUGAGAAGUGAAGAAAGGGCCUUGAGCAGGAGACACGCAGACCCUCCCUGAGUCCUGCCUGGUCCCCGGGCUGAGCCAGCUGCCCCUGCAGUGUCCCUCAGGCUGGCCACAGCUGCCUGCCGACCCAAGGCUUCCUGACCGGCUCGUCCUCUUUCCCUUUGGUCCAAGCUCUGCACUCUGCCCGUCAACCACCCGGCGGGGGGGGGGGGGGGGGGGGGGGGGGGGGCGCUGGGUUUUCCCAACGACCUCACCAGGUCACCCUCACAGACCACCGUGGCUCAGGGCUCUGCUGCUAGACUUGACCAUGGAGUCCAGGCGUGCAUCUUCUGGCUUCCGCAUGUCUUCUGCCCUGGGAGCUCUGGCCGCAGGUGGAUGCCCGUUUGGCGCCAGCCAACAUCUGCCCUUCUAGAAGCCUAUGGAAACAGUAGGCCCGCCAUGUGAUGAUUUCCUGUGCCUGCACCCAUGACAGACACGAUCUACUGUGGGAUUUCUGAACUUUGCUGGCAGCCAUGCAGAUGACCUGGGCUGGUCCUGACAUUCUCUGCCCAGUAUAUGUGCCCCCAGGUCCAUGUCGUGGCUGGAGCCACUGGAUAGAGUUUAAAAAGCAGUUCUGGUAGGAGGAGCGAGGGGAACGGCUGUUUGUCCUCACUGGGAUCUGAGCUGCUGGGGAAGCAAUGUGUGUCCAGAGGUGAGGCAGUGCUCACUGCAAGAAACAGUAAAAGUGGUUGGGGGGGGGGACCCAACCAGGGCCAUUAGUGGCCCCCCCCCCAUCAGUGCCGAGGGACUGUUCCCACGGCAUAUCCCAGCACACAGCUUGGUUGGGUUGGAUUGGGUUGAAGGCACAUGUCCUCUCUCCCAGCUGGCUCCUCAGGGGUGGAAUCUGGUUCACUUUGCCUUCGUGGCCCCCACAUCUUCCACAUGGAGCUGGGUUCACAGGCACUGCCCCUAAAAUCAUCCCUCAAUCUGAUCUGGCUUAACCUGCAGCUGCACCAUUUUCAGGAGAGGCCAGAUAAGUGGGCUGCUGGGUCCUAAGUGAUCCCCAGGCCACCAGGAGGUAGGCGUGGGCAAGAAACUCUUGACCUUGUGUGGAAAUCACCGUGGGACUGCUGAGCCCCAUUCCUGGGAAUUAUACACACACUUUAAUAAAAUGGAAAGGACUCUGCCCCCUCUCA